rnacentral:rRNA from 1 species
AGUGAACGCUGGCGGUAGGCCUAACACAUGCAAGUCGAACGGCAGCACAGUAAGAGCUUGCUCUUACGGGUGGCGAGUGGCGGACGGGUGAGGAAUACAUCGGAAUCUACUUUUUCGUGGGGGAUAACGUAGGGAAACUUACGCUAAUACCGCAUACGACCUACGGGUUAAAGCAGGGGAUCUUCGGACCUUGCGCGAUUGAAUGAGCCGAUGUCGGAUUAGCUAGUUGGCGGGGUAAAGGCCCACCAAGGCGACGAUCCGUAGCUGGUCUGAGAGGAUGAGCGGCCACACUGGAACUGAGACACGGUCCAGACUCCUACGGGAGGCAGCAGUGGGGAAUAUUGGACAAUGGGCGCAAGCCUGAUCCAGCCAUACCGCGUGGGUGAAGAAGGCCUUCGGGUUGUAAAGCCCUUUUGUUGGGAAAGAAAAGCAGCAGGUUAAUACCCCGCUGUUCUGACGGUACCCAAAGAAUAAGCACCGGCUAACUUCGUG